AUUGAACGCUGGCGGAAUGCUUUACACAUGCAAGUCGAACGGCAGCACGGGUGCUUGCACCUGGUGGCGAGUGGCGAACGGGUGAGUAAUAUAUCGGAACGUAUCCAAUAAUGGGGGAUAACUAGCCGAAAGGUUAGCUAAUACCGCAUACGCCCUGAGGGGGAAAGCUGGGGAUCGUAAGACCUAGCGUUGAUGGAGCGGCCGAUAUCUGAUUAGCUAGUUGGUGGGGUAAGAGCCUACCAAGGCGACGAUCAAUAGCUGGUCUGAGAGGACGACCAGCCACACUGGAACUGAGACACGGUCCAGACUCCUACGGGAGGCAGCAGUGGGGAAUUUUGGACAAUGGGGGCAACCCUGAUCCAGCCAUUCCGCGUGAGUGAAGAAGGCCUUCGGGUUGUAAAGCUCUUUCGCAAGGGAAGAAAACUCGAUCUCUAAUAUAGGUUGAGGCUGACGGUACCUUGAUAAGAAGCACCGGCUAACUACGUGCCAGCAGCCGCCGUAA
rnacentral:rRNA from 1 species